rnacentral:rRNA from 1 species
UGGGGAAUAUUGGACAAUGGGCGAAAGCCUGAUCCAGCCAUGCCGCGUGUGUGAAGAAGGUCUUCGGAUUGUAAAGCACUUUAAGUUGGGAGGAAGGGCAGUAAGUUAAUACCUUGCUGCUUUGACGUUACCGACAGAAUAAGCACCGGCUAACUCUGUGCCAGCAGCCGCGGUAAUACAGAGGGUGCAAGCGUUAAUCGGAAUUACUGGGCGUAAAGCGCGCGUAGGUGGUCUGUUAAGUUGGAUGUGAAAGCCCCGGGCUCAACCUGGGAACUGCAUCCAAGACUGGCAAGCUAGAGUACGGUAGAGGGUGGUGGAAUUUCCUGUGUAGCGGUGAAAUGCGUAGAUAUAGGAAGGAACACCAGUGGCGAAGGCGACCACCUGGACUGAUACUGACACUGAGGUGCGAAAGCGUGGGGAGCAAACA